rnacentral:rRNA from 1 species
UACGAAGGGGGCUAGCGUUGCUCGGAAUCACUGGGCGUAAAGGGCGCGUAGGCGGCGUUUUAAGUCGGGGGUGAAAGCCUGUGGCUCAACCACAGAAUGGCCUUCGAUACUGGGACGCUUGAGUAUGGUAGAGGUUGGUGGAACUGCGAGUGUAGAGGUGAAAUUCGUAGAUAUUCGCAAGAACACCAGUGGCGAAGGCGGCCAACUGGACCAUUACUGACGCUGAGGCGCGAAAGCGUGGGGAG